AAUCACCCCAAACAGGUGGCAUUCGUUUGUGCUGUUAAAAGAAACGCGGUUACAAGGUUUUUUUUUUCUUAAAUAUAACAAACAACUAACCUUGCUUCAGGUGCCGUUAGUCUAUAAAGUCUGACAUACCUCAAAAUCUGUGGAGGACACAGAUGGCAACGCAAGGUGCUGUCCGUUCAUCUGAUACAAACAUAUCUAGUUUGUUUGUGUUCGCGUGCUGCUGCUAUUAACGUUUAUUCUUUUUUUAACGUAUGGAAAGCUUUUAUUGCCAGUGCCGUAAUCAAGCUCAAAUCCAUAACAUAAAAGAUGGAGCACUGUACUACUUGAAAGGUCAUGAAAACAAAAGUGGUCAGAGGCACAGCGGAGGCUAACGCCAUUUCUAGGAAUUUUCAUGACAGCCCCACAGGUGCUCACACUGGACAAAAAAAGACCAGAGAUGCAAUUUCUAAAAGGUUUUUCUGGCCUGGGAUGUCUGCUGACAUAGAUAAAUGGGUUACACAUCCUUUUGAACUGAUAGGCAUGGGCCUAAUAGGUAAACUGAAAACCACAAAAAGUGGAUAUCAGUACAUCUGUGUCAUGGUGGACUACCUGACUAAAUGGCCACAAGCCUAUCCUCUCCGUAACAAAACAGCAGCUGAGGUGGCUGAAUGCAUAAUUAAAUUUUUCCACCAGUUUGAGGCUCCAAAAAGAAUAUUGACUGAUCAAGGCUCGGAGUUUGUGAAUGCGAGCUCUCAACAAGAUGGUAGCCAAAAAAAGUGAAAAUUGAAACGAGUACUUGGAUGCUGUCAUGUUUGGGCUGAGGACUAAGUUCUCCCCGUUCUUUUUGAUGUUUGGGCGAGAGGCUCGGUACCCUACAGAGGUGCCAGAACACUUCAUGGUAGACAGCAGUGUUGAGGAUGUUGUGACUGAGGAAAGUGUGACAGAAGACAUAAAGCACCUUGAUCACAUUAAGGAUAUUGUUCAUGGCAAUGUCACCAAGCAGCAGCAGAGCACAACGAGGCGAUUGAAGCAUGGUGCUCCUAAACCGGCCUUAAAAAUAGGGGACCAGGUGUGGAGACAAAAUGUAAGAAGCCAACAGAGAAAAGGUGGCAAGCUGGAGGCAAACUUCAUUGGACCCUUCACUGUGAUUGCACUACAGGGGAAAAGUGCUGAUCUGCUGGGAGAAGAUGGGACUGUUUUUAGCAAAAUCAAUGUAGAUCACUUAAAAAUUGCAAGGGUUGAGCUUCCCCAAAUCCCUCAUAAAAUAAAAAAAUCACCAGCCUCAUCCGCACCAGCCUCCACAGCAGCACCAGCCUCCUCCUCACCAGCCUCACCAGCCUCAUCUGCAGUGUCAGCCUCAUCAGCUGCACAAGCCUCCACAGCAUCACCAACCUCAACAGGCCCUGUCUUAGCAGCCACCUCAGUUGAAAGAUGUGCAUGAGGCAUGGGCAGGGUAAGAUGUGCAUGUACUUUUUUCCAAAGUUGACGCAUACAAACUUUUAUUGGGACAUUGAGAAGACUGGUCCCAACAAGGAGCUUGAGUGAGGUGAUCAAUGCAUAUUUAACAAUGCUUAUUCGAAAAUACAACCAAUGCAAUGCUGGUGAAGCAGCUGUUAUUGACAGCUAUGCAAUGGCUGCAGUCUGGCAGGGAAAAUUUGGAAGAAUACAGAUUGAUCCAAUGGCAAAACAAAGUUAUUGUGGGAAUUGUGAAUGAGCACCAUCACUGGAUGUUGGUUAUGUACCCACAUUAGAAGAGAACCCUAUUCCUCGAUCCACUAGGGGAAACUGACAAAGAUUAAGAUGUCUACAAGAGCAUUCAUGAGGAAAUAAGGCUGCAAUGUGUCAAGGUGGACAUGCAGCAAUCUCCCUCAUAGAUGUCAGCAAGAUCGCACAUCCUGUGGUAUCCUGGCCUUAAAAUUUGCAGAGAAAAUUUUACAGGGGGAGGCAAUAAAUAUUGACACUUCACAGAAGGCAGUGGACAAGUUGAGGCUGGACAUAGCCACUUCCCUCCUCAGAGAAUCUGAUGAUCUAAGCAGUCUGUACUUUUACUGUGGAAUGGAGGACCAGGAUGAAGCACAAUGGGUUUACUGUGAUGGCUGUGAAAGGUGGUACCACCAUGAAUGCGUGAACAGGCCUCCAGUGGAUGAGGAGUACUUGUGUCCGGCAUGUGCACAAUGGUGUCCCUUGUUGUACUGUCUUUUGAUUUAUUACCCGUGACAACAGUAUUUUGAUAGUAUUUAAUUUAUUACUUAGUAAAUUUAAUUUUAUUAUUUAAUUAUUAUUUCUAAAGUUAAUUCAUUAAAAAAAUAAAAACUUGAGAUGGUUUUCAGUACUUUAUUACAAUUU